rnacentral:ncRNA from 1 species
GUACCGAAAAGGCAAAGUCCGGGGAACCGGACGACGCAAAGCUACCUACCCAGAACGGGCAGAGGGGUUGUCGAA